rnacentral:rRNA from 1 species
AGCGAACGCUGGCGGCAUGCCUAACACAUGCAAGUCGCACGGGGGGGCUUCGGCCUCCCAGUGGCGGACGGGUGAGGAACGCGUAGGGACCUGUGGGGGGGGGGGGGAUAACCGCGGGAAACUGCGGCUAAUACCGCAUGACCCCGUGGCGUGACAGCCGGGGCCAAAGGCGAAAGCCGCCCGCCGAGGGGCCUGCGUCCGAUUAGCUGGUUGGCGGGGUAGCGGCCCACCAAGGCGUCGAUCGGUAGCUGGUCUGAGAGGGUGAUCAGCCACACCGGGACUGAGACACGGCCCGGACUCCUACGGGAGGCAGCAGUGGGGAAUAUUGGACAAUGGGCGCAAGCCUGAUCCAGCAAUGCCGCGUGGGUGAAGAAGGUCUUCGGAUUGUAAAGCCCUUUCGGCGGGGACGAUGGUGACGGUACCCGCAGAAGAAGCCCCGGCUAACUUCGUG